UUGAAAGUACUUGAGGAAUCGGCAUCGGCUAACUCCGUGCCCGCAGCCGCGGUAAUACGGAGGAUGCAAACGUUUUCCGGAAUGAUUGGGCGUAAAAGGUCCGCAGGUGGCAGUGAAAAUCUGCUGUUUAAAAGUCUGGCUCAACCCGAUAAAGGCAGUGGAAACUACACAGCUAGAGUACGUUUGGGGCAGAGGGAAUUUCUGGUGUAGCGGUGAAAUGCGUAGAGAUCAGGAAAAACACCGGUGGCGAAAACGCUCUGCUAGGACUGUACUGACGCUGAGGGACGAAAACUAGGGGAGCGAAUGGGAUUUGAUACCCCCGUAGUCCUAGCCGUAAACGAUGGAUACUAGGCGUUGCGCGUAUCGACCCGCGCAGUGCCGGAGCUAACGCGUUUAGUAUCCCGCCUGGGGAGUACGCAGGCAACUGUGAAACUCAAAAGAAUUGACGGGGGCCCGCACAAACGGUGGAGUAUGUGGUUUUAUUCGAUGCAACGCGAAAAACCUUUCCCGGACUUGACAUGUCGCGAAUUGAGGUGAAAACUUUUAGUGCCUUCGGGAGCGCGAACACAGGUGGUGCAUGGCUGUCGUCAGCUCGUGUCGUGAGAUGUUGGGUUUAGUCCCGCAACGAGCGCAACCCUCGUUUUUUGUUGCCCGCAUUUUGGAUGGGCACUCGAAAAAAACUGCCGGUGACAAACCGGAGGAAAGUGGGGAUGACGUCAAAUCAGCAUGCCCCUUUCGUCCUGGGCUACACACGUACUACAAUGCUGUGGACAAUGGGCAGCAAACAGGCAACUGCAAACAAAUCUCAUAAACCCUGGCUCAGUUUUGAUCGAAGGCUGCAACUCGCCUUUGUGAAAGUGGAAUCGCUAGUAAUUGCAGGUCAGCAUACUGCAGUGAAUUUGUUCCGGGGCCUUGUACACACCG
rnacentral:rRNA from 1 species